rnacentral:rRNA from 1 species
UAACGAAUCUUCGGCAAUGCACGCAAGUGCGACCGAGCAAUGCCGCGUGGUGGAUGAAGCCUUUCGGGGUGUAAACACCUGUCAGGGACUAGGAAUUCUGACCAGUCCCAGAGGAAGGGCCGGCUAACUCCGUGCCAGCAGCCGCGGUAAUACGGAGGGCCCGAGCGUUAAUCGGAAUUACUGGGCUUAAAGGGUGCGUAGGCGGACAGGAAAGUACCUUGUGAAAGCCCACCGCUCAACGGUGGAAUUGCUUGGUAAACUUCUUGUCUUGAGCCCGGUAGAGGCUAUCGGAACUCUAGGUGGAGCGGUGAAAUGCGUAGAUAUCUAGAGGAACGCCAAUGGCGAAAGCAGAUAGCUGGACCGGCGCUGACGCUGAGGCACGAAAGCGUGGGUAGCGAACC